GACGAACGCUGGCGGCGUGCUUAACACAUGCAAGUCGAACGGAAAGGCCAUGCUCUUGUGGGGUGCUCGAUUGCCGAACGCGUGAGUAAAACGCGAGUAAACUGCCCUUGUCUUUGGGAUAACUUCAGGAAACUGGGGCUAUUACCGCAUAGGAGCUCCUGCUCCACGGUGGGCGUUGGAAAGUUUCGGUGGUUGGGGCUCGACUCGCGGCUUAUCCGCUAGUUGGUGGGGUAGUUGCUUUCCAAGGGUUUGAAGGGUAGGCGGCCUGGGAGGGGGAACGGGGACAAUGCGACUGAGGGAGGGCGCAGAAUGGUACGGGAGGCAGCAGUGGGGAGUAUGGCACAGUGGGCGGAAGCGUGAGACAACAGCGUCGCGAGCGUGAUGACGGGCUACGGGGUGUAAACCGCUUUCGACUGUAACGAAGCGUGAGUGACGGUAAUGGGUAAAGAAGCACCGGCUAACUACGUG
rnacentral:rRNA from 1 species